rnacentral:rRNA from 1 species
AUGAACGCUAGCGACAGGCUUAACACAUGCAAGUCGAGGGGCAGCACUGGUAGCAAUACCGGGUGGCGACCGGCGCACGGGUGAGUAACGCGUAUGCAACUUACCUAUCAGAGGGGGAUAACCCGGCGAAAGUCGGACUAAUACCGCAUGAAGCAGGGGCCCCGCAUGGGGAUAUUUGCUAAAGAUUCAUCGCUGAUAGAUAGGCAUGCGUUCCAUUAGGCAGUUGGCGGGGUAACGGCCCACCAAACCGACGAUGGAUAGGGGUUCUGAGAGGAAGGUCCCCCACAUUGGUACUGAGACACGGACCAAACUCCUACGGGAGGCAGCAGUGAGGAAUAUUGGUCAAUGGGCGUAAGCCUGAACCAGCCAAGUCGCGUGAGGGAUGAAGGUUCUAUGGAUCGUAAACCUCUUUUAUAAGGGAAUAAAGUGCGGGACGUGUCCCGUUUUGUAUGUACCUUAUGAAUAAGGAUCGGCUAACUCCGUGCCAGCAGCCGCGGUAAUACGGAGGAUCCGAGCGUUAUCCGGAUUUAUUGGGUUUAAAGGGUGCGUAGGCGGCCUUUUAAGUCAGCGGUGAAAGUCUGUGGCUCAACCAUAGAAUUGCCGUUGAAACUGGGGGGCUUGAGUAUGUUUGAGGCAGGCGGAAUGCGUGGUGUAGCGGUGAAAUGCUUAGAUAUCACGCAGAACCCCGAUUGCGAAGGCAGCCUGCCAAGCCAUGACUGACGCUGAUGCACGAAAGCGUGGGGAUCAAACAGGAUUAGAUACCCUGGUAGUCCACGCAGUAAACGAUGAUCACUAGCUGUUUGCGAUACAGUGUAAGCGGCACAGCGAAAGCGUUAAGUGAUCCACCUGGGGAGUACGCCGGCAACGGUGAAACUCAAAGGAAUUGACGGGGGCCCGCACAAGCGGAGGAACAUGUGGUUUAAUUCGAUGAUACGCGAGGAACCUUACCCGGGUUUGAACGCAUUCGGACCGAGGUGGAAACACCUUUUCUAGCAAUAGCCGUUUGCGAGGUGCUGCAUGGUUGUCGUCAGCUCGUGCCGUGAGGUGUCGGCUUAAGUGCCAUAACGAGCGCAACCCUUGCCACUAGUUACUAACAGGUGAUGCUGAGGACUCUGGUGGGACUGCCAGCGUAAGCUGCGAGGAAGGCGGGGAUGACGUCAAAUCAGCACGGCCCUUACAUCCGGGGCGACACACGUGUUACAAUGGCGUGGACAAAGGGAAGCCACCUGGCGACAGGGAGCGAAUCCCCAAACCACGUCUCAGUUCGGAUCGGAGUCUGCAACCCGACUCCGUGAAGCUGGAUUCGCUAGUAAUCGCGCAUCAGCCAUGGCGCGGUGAAUACGUUCCCGGGCCUUGUACACACCGCCCGUCAAGCCAUGGGAGCCGGGGGUACCUGAAGUCCGUAACCGAAAGGAUCGGCCUAGGGUAAAACUGGUGACUGGGGCU